UACGUAGGGUGCAAGCGUUGUCCGGAAUUAUUGGGCGUAAAGAGCUCGUAGGUGGUUUGUCGCGUCGUUCGUGAAAACUCACAGCUCAACUGUGGGCGUGCGGGCGAUACGGGCAGACUAGAGUACUGCAGGGGAGACUGGAAUUCCUGGUGUAGCGGUGGAAUGCGCAGAUAUCAGGAGGAACACCGGUGGCGAAGGCGGGUCUCUGGGCAGUAACUGACGCUGAGGAGCGAAAGCGUGGGGAGCGAACAGG
rnacentral:rRNA from 1 species